rnacentral:rRNA from 1 species
CACACCAUGGAAGCUAGCUGUAUCGGAAGUCGGUGGGCCAACCCGAGCAAUCGGGGAGGCAGCCGCCCAUGGUAUGGCUGGUGACUGGGGUG